rnacentral:rRNA from 1 species
GACGAACGCUGGCGGCGUGCUUAACACAUGCAAGUCGAGCGGUAAGGCCCUUUCGGGGGUACACGAGCGGCGAACGGGUGAGUAACACGUGGGUGACCUGCCCUCAGCUCUGGGAUAAGCCUGGGAAACCGGGUCUAAUGCUGGAUAUGACUCCAUGACGCAUGUUGUGGGGUGGAAAGCCUUGUGCGGCUGAGGAUGGGCCCGCGGCCUAUCAGCUUGUUGGUGGGGUGAUGGCCUACCAAGGCGACGACGGGUAGCCGGCCUGAGAGGGCGACCGGCCACACUGGGACUGAGACACGGCCCAGACUCCUACGGGAGGCAGCAGUGGGGAAUCUUGCGCAAUGGGCGAAAGCCUGACGCAGCGACGCCGCGUGAGGGACGACGGCCUCGGUGUAA